rnacentral:rRNA from 1 species
UACGUAGGGGCCUAGCGUUGUCCGGAAUCAUUGGGCGUAAAGAGCGUGUAGGCGGCCCGGUAAGUCCGCUGUGAAAGUCGGGGGCUCAACCCUCGAAUGCCGGUGGAUACUGUCGGGCUAGAGUGCGGAAGAGGCGAGUGGAAUUCCUGGUGUAGCGGUGAAAUGCGCAGAUAUCAGGAGGAACACCAAUUGCGAAGGCAGCUCGCUGGGACGUAACUGACGCUGAGACGCGAAAGCGUGGGGAGCAAACAGG